rnacentral:rRNA from 1 species
AGACCCGAAACCCGGUGAUCUAGCCAUGGGCAGGUUGAAGGUUGGGUAACACUAACUGGAGGACCGAACCGACUAAUGUUGAAAAAUUAGCGGAUGACCUGUGGCUGGGGGUGAAAGGCCAAUCAAACCGGGAGAUAGCUGGUUCUCCCCGAAAGCUAUUUAGGUAGCGCCUCGUGAAUUCAUCUCCGGGGGUAGAGCACUGUUUCGGCUAGGGGGCCAUCCCGGCUUACCAACCCGAUGCAAACUGCGAAUACCGGAGAAUGUUAUCACGGGAGACACACGGCGGGUGCUAACGUCCGUCGUGAAGAGGGAAACAACCCAGACCGCCAGCUAAGGUCCCAAAGUCAUGGUUAAGUGGGAAACGAUGUGGGAAGGCCCAGACAGCCAGGAUGUUGGCUUAGAAGCAGCCAUCAUUUAAAGAAAGCGUAAUAGCUCACUGGUCGAGUCGGCCUGCGCGGAAGAUGUAACGGGGCUAAACCAUGCACCGAAGCUGCGGCAGCGACACUGUGUGUUGUUGGGUAGGGGAGCGUUCUGUAAGCCUGUGAAGGUGUGUCGUGAGGCAUGCUGGAGGUAUCAGAAGUGCGAAUGCUGACAUAAGUAACGAUAAAGCGGGUGAAAAGCCCGCUCGCCGGAAGACCAAGGGUUCCUGUCCAACGUUAAUCGGGGCAGGGUGAGUCGACCCCUAAGGCGAGGCCGAAAGGCGUAGUCGAUGGGAAACGGGUUAAUAUUCCCGUACUUGGUGUUACUGCGAAGGGGGGACGGAGAAGGCUAUGUUGGCCGGGCGACGGUUGUCCCGGUUUAAGCGUGUAGGUGUGUGUUCCAGGUAAAUCCGGUUCACUUUAACACUGAGGCGUGACGACGAGGCACUACGGUGCUGAAGCAACAAAUGCCCUGCUUCCAGGAAAAGCCUCUAAGCAUCAGGUAACAUCAAAUCGUACCCCAAACCGACACAGGUGGUCAGGUAGAGAAUACCAAGGCGCUUGAGAGAACUCGGGUGAAGGAACUAGGCAAAAUGGUGCCGUAACUUCGGGAGAAGGCACGCUGACACGUAGGUGAAGUGAUUUACUCAUGGAGCUGAAGUCAGUCGAAGAUACCAGCUGGCUGCAACUGUUUAUUAAAAACACAGCACUGUGCAAACACGAAAGUGGACGUAUACGGUGUGACGCCUGCCCGGUGCCGGAAGGUUAAUUGAUGGGGUCAGCGCAAGCGAAGCUCCUGAUCGAAGCCCCGGUAAACGGCGGCCGUAACUAUAACGGUCCUAAGGUAGCGAAAUUCCUUGUCGGGUAAGUUCCGACCUGCACGAAUGGCGUAAUGAUGGCCAGGCUGUCUCCACCCGAGACUCAGUGAAAUUGAACUCGCUGUGAAGAUGCAGUGUACCCGCGGCAAGACGGAAAGACCCCGUGAACCUUUACUAUAGCUUGACACUGAACAUUGAGCCUUGAUGUGUAGGAUAGGUGGGAGGCUUUGAAGUGUG